rnacentral:lncRNA from 1 species
CAGGGGACCGGAGUCCUCACCACUCCCCCUUUUGUCUUCUCCAAGCCAGGGUCAAAGCUGCCUCAUGCAGACGGAGAGGAGAAGCUGCGUUCCCUGCCUUUCCCGAAUUGUUUGUGGACUGUAAAUGAAGAAAAAGGCAAGACCUAAAUCCUGAACUCCUACCGCUAUAACACAUUCCUCUGCGCUAAGGAACUGACAUUCUAAAGGUGCAGAUACCC